AAACACCUGGUGUAAUGGUAGCAUCCCAGGCUCAUGACCUGGGGGUGGGGGUUCGAUUCCCUCGGUGUUGG
rnacentral:tRNA from 1 species